UUCCUUUCAAAAUGUAAUUUAGUUUAUUGCUUAGAAAUUGUUGUAGUUUUCUAUUGGUUUAUUUAUUACAGAAAAAAAGAGACUGAACUGAGAGUGGAAAAGUAAUGAUAAUAUUUCUUUCUUGCAUAAGAAAAAGGUUUUGCCCAUAAUUAAUUCACUGAGCAAGACAUACAGAAUUCUAUCCAAUGCUAUGAAAAUUAACCAAGGCACAUUAACUUCAGGAAAUUUUCAAAGGACAGAGAAAGAAGCUGUAACAAACAGUUCUGGAGACUUUGAAGCACAGCCACAGUACUGA
rnacentral:lncRNA from 1 species